rnacentral:rRNA from 1 species
GUGGGGGAUAUUGCGCAAUGGGGGCAACCCUGACGCAGCAACGCCGCGUGAAGGAUGAAGGUUUUCGGAUUGUAAACUUCUUUUAUUAAGGACGAAAAAUGACGGUACUUAAUGAAUAAGCUCCGGCUAACUACGUGCCAGCAGCCGCGGUAAUACGUAGGGAGCAAGCGUUGUCCGGAUUUACUGGGUGUAAAGGGUGCGUAGGCGGCUUUGCAAGUCAGAUGUGAAAUCUAUGGGCUCAACCCAUAAACUGCAUUUGAAACUGUAGAGCUUGAGUGAAGUAGAGGCAGGCGGAAUUCCCCGUGUAGCGGUGAAAUGCGUAGAGAUGGGGAGGAACACCAGUGGCGAAGGCGGCCUGCUGGGCUUUAACUGACGCUGAGGCACGAAAGCGUGGGUAGCAAACAGGAUUAGAUACCCCUGUAGUCC